UACGUAGGCAGCGAGCGUUGUUCGGAGUUACUGGGCGUAAAGAGUGCGUAGGCGGUUUUCUAAGUUUGGUGUGAAAUCUCCCGGCUUAACUGGGAGGGUGCGCCGAAAACUGGAAGGCUUGAGUAUGGGAGAGGUAAGCGGAAUUCCUGGUGUAGCGGUGAAAUGCGUAGAUAUCAGGAGGAACACCUGCGGUGUAGACGGCUUACUGGACCAUAACUGACGCUGAGGCGCGAAAGCGUGGGUAGCAAACAGG
rnacentral:rRNA from 1 species